AUCUUGAAAUGACAACCUGUGCCUCUGGGACUCGGCUGCAAGGAAGACAAGUGGACAUGUUUUUCUGUGUAUCCCAAAAGAGGUAGCAGUGUCCUUGCAGUGCACUGGAUGGAUGAAUGAAGGCACUCUCCCAGGCUUCCAACUCUUGGAGCAGAGACAAGCCACUGUGGCCUGGAGGAGCUUGUGGAAGCCUUCACAGAAACGGCUGGGAAGGGCUUGAGGGACAAGAACAUAAUGUGAAACCAGAAAGCAUGAACUAAAGCCAGGGAG